rnacentral:rRNA from 1 species
CCUACGGGUGGCAGCAGUGAGGAAUAUUGGUCAAUGGGCUUACGCCUGAACCAGCCAAGUCGCGUGAGGGAAGACUGCCCUAUGGGUUGUAAACCUCUUUUGUCAGGGAGCAAUUGGCGCUACGUGUAGCGUUAUCGAGAGUACAUUAAGUAAAAGCAUCGGCUAACUACGUUCCAGCAGCCGCGGUAAUCCGGAGGAUGCGAGCGUUAUCCGUAUUUAUUGGGUUUAAAGGGUGCGUAGGCGGAAUGCCAAGUCAACGGUAAAAUCGAGGGGCUCAACCUCGCUCCGCCUUUGAAACUGGCGGUCGUGAGUGAGCGAGAAGUAUGCGGAAUGCGUGGGGUAGCGGUGAAAUGCAUAGAUAGCAGGCAGAACACCGAUUGCGAAGGCAGCAUACCGG